AACGAGCCUUUAAAAGUUCCUAUUAGGCAGCUGAAGAGUAAAAUCGUAUCUUUGACAGGCCAAACUGCCUCCCCUUCAAAUGAAACUUCUCCUUUGAAAUUAAGACCCAUAUCAUUUGAAGGGGAGUAGAACUUGGAUCAGGAGGAUCCUUGGAUCCUACUUGAAUCACUAUCCUAUUUGAUACAGUACCUAGUAGUAUCCUAUCUGAAUCAGUACCACUAUAUUGAUGAUCUCACUUUCACAUCUGACUUGCUGGAGGCAUUAGAAAAUGCAGUAGAUUCAUUAACCUACUCAGUUAAAAGAGAAAGGAUGGGCUAUAAACCCACAAAACGUGCAAGAGUCGGGGGUUAAAUUCCUGGGCGUAGUUUGGCCAGGAAAGACCGAAGUACUACCCAGUGCAAUAAUAGAAAAGGCUCAGGCAUUCCUAGUCCCUACCAUGCCAAGACAGCUGCAAGAAUUUUUGAGUAUAUUGGGAUACUGGUGUUCCUUUAUACCCUACUUAAUUCUGCUGAGGCCUCUGUAUUGACUCACAAAGAAAGCCCAAAAAUGGGACUAGAGGAGAAUGGAACAAGAGGCCUUCCAGCAAGCAAAACAAAUCAUUGGCUCGUGCUGUGAAGGGAGGAGUGUAGCAGAAAUGAUAAGUCACAGCCUGAAUCAGUGAUUGAUCAUCUGGUGGGAAGGUAGAGCCAACCCAGGGGAGCUCAGGUGCAUGCAUUGCACCUGCGUGAAUGGAAGGGGUGGAGCCAGGAGCCACCCCUUCCCAGACCUCAUUUAAGGGCUGGCAGUGGAGGUGAGGGUAUCUUUUUGGAGAUCCCUGCCUACCAGAGGCCCUUCAAAGGUAAGCACGUUUUCUUCCUUUGUUUCUGUGUUCCCAGCUACUGUACUUGGGCUUGUUCUCGUUUGCUGCAGCCUAGGAUUGCGUCACCUUGCUACUAUUGCUAUACUUUCCAUCAUGUUAUAGCAUUACAACAGGUUCAUCAGAAUUAUCUAUGUGAAUUGUAUUUCAGUUGGUUUUGCAACUUUCAGAGGAAGCGUUCAAACAAAUAGCUCACGAUGGGAUUCAAAAUAAUAUAAUGUGAACUGUCUAAAACCUAGAGAUCUAGCCUGCAUCAGUUAUCUAUAUUCUCAAGCACAAGUCUUCCCACCAGUAGAAGUAGCCAAGAUCCUGGAGAUAUUGUGGACUUUUCUUUGACCUCUCAGUGAAUUCAAUAAAAGAGAGGAUUUCUGACUGAUAUUUUUGACCAGUUGUUUCUGCAAUCUUUCCAAUAUGAUGGGACCAAAAGCUCAUGAUUUAUUCCACAUACUGACUCACCAGUGCUAUGAAAGCUACACUAUUUCCUUCCAUGUUCUACAAAUGAUCUAGC
ensembl:lncRNA